AGUGAACGCUGGCGGCAGGCCUAACACAUGCAAGUCGAACGGCAGCACAGUAAGAGCUUGCUCUUACGGGUGGCGAGUGGCGGACGGGUGAGGAAUACAUCGGAAUCUACUUUUUCGUGGGGGAUAACGCAGGGAAACUUACGCUAAUACCGCAUACGACCUACGGGUGAAAGCAGGGGAUCUUCGGACCUUGCGUGAUUGAAUGAGCCGAUGUCGGAUUAGCUAGUUGGCGGGGUAAAGGCCCACCAAGGCGACGAUCCGUAGCUGGUCUGAGAGGAUGAUCAGCCACACUGGAACUGAGACACGGUCCAGACUCCUACGGGAGGCAGCAGUGGGGAAUAUUGGACAAUGGGCGCAAGCCUGAUCCAGCCAUGCCGCGUGGGUGAAGAAGGCCUUCGGGUUGUAAAGCCCUUUUGUUGGGAAAGAAAAGCAGCAGGUUAAUACCCCGCUGUUCUGACGGUACCCAAAGAAUAAGCACCGGCUAACUUCGUG
rnacentral:rRNA from 1 species